UCCUCCCCAACCCGUCUUACCCUCGCCCUUCGUUCUUAGGUUGCAACGGACUAUAGUGUCGUUGAAUGCGCUUUUCACCACGCACCGGUGUACUGCAAAGAAGCAAACACCACGGAGUAGGCAUCGCAACUUUGUAUGUCUUGCUUCUCUGCAGCGGACCCUGUGUUAAGGAGAAAGCUCUCCUCCAAAGUGAGACUCAACACAAUUCCUGAACACAACUUCGGCUCGUAAAUAUGAUGGAUUACAAGAUCCCGGCGGCACCUUUUCCAAUUUCGAGAUUUAGACAAUAGGCCAGCUCAAGCGGAGAUUUCAUUGCCUCCAUGCUGAGUUGAGGAUGCAGCCAGAGAGAUGCUGCGACAUCACUGUUGCCUGCUGUGUCCUGCACAACCUGGCCAAGACAUACCCCUGCAGCAUGCCAAGGACUGUCCUCCCCGAAGAGGUUCCCGUCGAGCCCGUGGCAGCGGGCCGUGAUGAAAGCAACGAGGCUCGGGAUGCCAUCGUCAGCCAGUUCUUCGGUUGAGCCAGGAGAUUAGCUCCCUCGAGCUGCUGCUGCCUUUCUGUCUCCUGCAAGAAGCGCUGUGAAGCCUCCCGGCACCAACGUCGGCUGUAUGGCACAUUUGUUGGAGCCCGCUGCACCGCCUCCAGCGGCC
rnacentral:lncRNA from 1 species